rnacentral:rRNA from 1 species
CCUACGGGAGGCAGCAGUGAGGAAUAUUGGUCAAUGGACGAGAGUCUGAACCAGCCAAGUAGCGUGAAGGAUGACUGCCCUAUGGGUUGUAAACUUCUUUUAUAUGGGAAUAAAACAGGGUAUGCAUACCCUCUUGUACGUACCAUAUGAAUAAGGAUCGGCUCACUCCGUGCCAGCAGCCGCGGUAAUACGGAGGAUCCGAGCGUUAUCAGGAUUUAUUGGGUGUAAAGGGAGCGUAGGUGGAUUGUUAAGUCAGUUGUGAAAGUUUGCGGCUCAACCGUAAAAGUGCAUUUGAAACUGGCAGUCUUGAGUGCAGUAGAGGUGGGCGGAAUUCGUGGUGUAGCGGUGAAAUGCUUAGAUAUCACGAAGAACUCCGAUUGCGAAGGCAGCUUACUAAACUGUGACUGACAUUGAUGCUCGAAAGUGUGGGUAUCAAACAGGAUUAGAUACCCGGGUAGUC